rnacentral:rRNA from 1 species
AUUGAACGCUGGCGGCAUGCCUAACACAUGCAAGUCGAACGGCAGCAUAGUCAAGCUUGCUUGACAGGUGGCGAGUGGCGAACGGGUGAGUAAUGCGUAGGAAUAUGCCUUGAAGUGGGGGACAACCCGGGGAAACCCGGGCUAAUACCGCAUAAGCUCUUCGGAGUAAAGCUGGGGACCUUUGGGCCUGGCGCUUCAAGAUUAGCCUACGUCCAAUUAGCUUGUUGGUGAGGUAAAGGCUCACCAAGGCGACGAUUGGUAGCUGGUCUGAGAGGAUGGUCAGCCACACUGGGACUGAGACACGGCCCAGACUCCUACGGGAGGCAGCAGUGGGGAAUAUUGGACAAUGGGGGCAACCCUGAUCCAGCAAUGCCGCGUGUGUGAAGAAGGCCUGAGGGUUGUAAAGCACUUUCAGUGGGGAGGAGUCUUGGUUGGUUAAGAGCUGAUUAAGUGGACGUUACCCACAGAAGAAGCACCGGCUAACUCCGUG